ACAAAAUUGGAGAGUCAAGACAGAAGCUUUUCACCAGAUUACAGCAUAAAACAGACACAAAAAUACAACAUAUAAUGGAGUUAUGGGAGCAAAGGAUUACAAAUAUUCAGCACAAAAUACUCAUAUAGAGAAACUAGCUAUAAAUCUAAUACCAGAACCACAAACUACUUGCCCCAGUCUCACGUCAUAGCUAAAACACAUCAAUUUAUGAGAACUUCUGAAAGGCACAAGAAAAAGACAUAAAAAAGAUUAAGGAAAUACUGAAUUUGAAACCCCCAUGUAUGAAGGGAACAACUCAAUUCUGUGAAACAAAAACUUCAUUUGCACUCAACACCGACUUCAGCAGCACGCCUAGGCUUAUUUUUCCUCCUGCUUCUAUUUGGUCUGAACCCAACGGACUUGAUCAAGUCAGGAGCGUUAGUUUUGAUUCCCACGCCAUUUUCCUCUUUCACUAAAUCUGCAUUUUCAUUGACUUGAGAAGGCCUUAUCCUUUUUCGGCCUUUCUCUGCAGCAGCUAGAUUCUUAGUACUUCUAUUCAAUGCGGAACUUUUCGAAUCCUGGCCAUUUUCUUCCUCUUCUUCUAUCUUCUUGACUUCAUCUUCUUCCUCAAAUUCAUCCUUCAAUGGUUUUUGUGGCCUUCCUCUUCUCCUAGAUGGUAUCUUCUCAUCCUCGCCGCUUCCAACAUCAUCACGAGCAGCAAUAGCCGAUUGUUUCUUACCUUUUCCUCUCCCUCUACCCAUUUUUUAAAUCAGCAACUUAAACAAACGGUAAAAAAAAAAUCUACAAAAGUAAUGUUAAAGAUCGUAAGAUUUUAGCAGUGUUCUUUGAGCUACUCAAUUGUUUUCCGAUGUUAGCUGGAAAAAGCUGAGAAACAGUACAGAAAAAUCCAACCUGCAUAUCCAACCAACUAUAUAUAUAUAUAAUCCAUGAAAGACACGACAACCAGAGAAACAAAAAGAAAAUUCAAAUUGAACUGAUAUGAACUAAAUUACUAACAAAGUAAAUCUCAAACAACAAAAACCAGCACAAGAUCCCCGAAAUAAUAUAUAAACAAAUCCUCCUUAUAAAAACACCCAGUACACCAAACAAAAAUAAAUCCAGUUCAUGAAAAACUUGAAAAAUUCACGGAGAGAAUAAAUAACCCACGUAUAUAUAAAUCUAACUGUACAUGCAAUUAAAUCACAUAAGAUUGAAUCUUGACCAUAACCCAUAAGGAAACUAUAUAUUUCUAUACAUAUGAUGCAUAAGAGAUGAAAACACAGAGAGAAACAUACCAAAUGAAGCUGACCUUGUAAGACAUAACUGCGACAUGCAUCAAUGAUAGAAAAGUCGUUUCUUGAAAAUCUAAUUAAACCAAUCAAAACCCAAUAUCAGAUGGGUUUUUCUGCUUAAAUUAAUGGUUUCAGCAGUGAUGGAAGUAAAUAAGAAAAAGGCUUAAAUUUUUUAGGGAAACAUAUAGAGAAGCUAGCUAUAAAUCUAAUACCAGAACCACAAACUACUUGCCCCAGUCUCAUGUCAUAGCUAAAACACAUCAAUUUAUGAGAACUUCUGAAAGGCACAAGAAAAAGACAUAAAAAAGAUUAAGGAAAUACUGAAUCUGA
rnacentral:lncRNA from 1 species